AGUGAACGCUGGCGGUAGGCCUAACACAUGCAAGUCGAACGGCAGCACAGGAGAGCUUGCUCUCUGGGUGGCGAGUGGCGGACGGGUGAGGAAUACAUCGGAAUCUACUCUGUCGUGGGGGAUAACGUAGGGAAACUUACGCUAAUACCGCAUACGACCUACGGGUGAAAGCAGGGGAUCUUCGGACCUUGCGCGAUUGAAUGAGCCGAUGUCGGAUUAGCUAGUUGGCGGGGUAAAGGCCCACCAAGGCGACGAUCCGUAGCUGGUCUGAGAGGACGAUCAGCCACACUGGGACUGAGACACGGCCCAGACUCCUACGGGAGGCAGCAGUGGGGAAUAUUGGACAAUGGGGGAAAGCCUGAUCCAGCGACGCCGCGUGGGUGAAGAAGGCCUGCGGGUUGUAAAGCCCUUUCGGUAGGGACGAAAGCUCUCGACCUAACACGUCGGGAGGUUGACUUAACCUACAAAAGAAGCACCGGCUAACUCUGUGCCAGCCGCCGCCGUAA
rnacentral:rRNA from 1 species